GACGAACGCUGGCGGCGUGCUUAACACAUGCAAGUCGAGCGGUAAGGCCCUUUCGGGGGUACACGAGCGGCGAACGGGUGAGUAACACGUGGGUGACCUGCCCUCAGCUCUGGGAUAAGCCUGGGAAACUGGGUCUAAUACUGGAUAUGACUCCACGGUGCAUGUCGUGGGGUGGAAAGCCUUGUGCGGCUGAGGAUGGGCCCGCGGCCUAUCAGCUUGUUGGUGGGGNGAUGGCCUACCAAGGCGACGACGGGUAGCCGGCCUGAGAGGGCGACCGGCCACACUGGGACUGAGACACGGCCCAGACUCCUACGGGAGGCAGCAGUGGGGAAUCUUGCGCAAUGGGCGAAAGCCUGACGCAGCGACGCCGCGUGAGGGAUGACGG
rnacentral:rRNA from 1 species